rnacentral:rRNA from 1 species
GCUUGUCUCAAAGAUUAAGCCAUGCAUGUCUAAGUAUAAGCAAUUAUACAGCGAAACUGCGAAUGGCUCAUUAAAUCAGUUAUCGUUUAUUUGAUAGUACCUUACUACUUGGAUAACCGUGGUAAUUCUAGAGCUAAUACAUGCUAAAAACCCCAACUCACGAAGGGGUGUAUUUAUUAGAUUAAAAACCAAUGCCCUUCGGGGCUCUCUGGUGAUUCAUAAUAACUUUUCGAAUCGCAUGGCCUUGUGCCGGCGAUGGUUCAUUCAAAUUUCUGCCCUAUCAACUUUCGAUGGCAGGGUCUUGGCCUGCCAUGGUUACAACGGGUAACGGAGGGUUAGGGCUCGACCCCGGAGAAGGAGCCUGAGAAACGGCUACUACAUCCAAGGAAGGCAGCAGGC